AUUGAACGCUGGCGGCAGGCCUAACACAUGCAAGUCGAGCGGAUGAAGGGAGCUUGCUCCUGGAUUCAGCGGCGGACGGGUGAGUAAUGCCUAGGAAUCUGCCUGGUAGUGGGGGAUAACGUCCGGAAACGGGCGCUAAUACCGCAUACGUCCUGAGGGAGAAAGUGGGGGAUCUUCGGACCUCACGCUAUCAGAUGAGCCUAGGUCGGAUUAGCUAGUUGGUGGGGUAAAGGCCUACCAAGGCGACGAUCCGUAACUGGUCUGAGAGGAUGAUCAGUCACACUGGAACUGAGACACGGUCCAGACUCCUACGGGAGGCAGCAGUGGGGAAUAUUGGACAAUGGGCGAAAGCCUGAUCCAGCCAUGCCGCGUGUGUGAAGAAGGUCUUCGGAUUGUAAAGCACUUUAAGUUGGGAGGAAGGGCAGUAAGUUAAUACCUUGCUGUUUUGACGUUACCAACAGAAUAAUCACCGGCUAACUUCGUG
rnacentral:rRNA from 1 species